GCCAGGCAUGGUGGCUCAUGCCUGUAAUCCCAGCACUUGGGAGGCUGAGGCAGGAGGAUUGCUUGAGGCCAGGAGCUCAAGACCAGCCUAGGCAACAGAGAGAGACCUGUCUUUCUAAAAUAUUUUUAAAAAUUAGUGCACAUGAUGGCAUACAUCUGUAAUCCUUGGCUACUUGGAAAGCUGAGCAGGAAGAUCAAGCCAAAGAGUUUGAGGUUGCAGUGAGCUACGACUGCGUUACUGCACUCUAGCCUGGGCGACAGAGUGAGAACUUGUCUCU
rnacentral:sRNA from 1 species